CAUGUUUCUCAGUCAAGCAAUCUGACCUGUUGAGAACACUCACGUUCAACAUCUUAUUUCGGCGAAUCAUAAAAGCUGAAAAAAGUUGCACUAGAUAUUCGUUAGCAUAGAUUUGAACUAUUUUGAUUGCCAAUCCAAAUGUAAUGAGUGAUCGUUGCUACAUAGCAACAUGAGCACGUGUGAGAGGAUCGCUAGUAACACGGACGCACACACUAUAGCAACAGACAACCUGUGUGCAGAAAGGGAGAGGGUGUGCCCUUGACGUCGUUUCUCGUCAAAUACUCACAUUUCGGAGAGAACCAUAUCCAGGUUUGCUUACUUGCUAUUCACCACGGCAUUGUCAUGACUUUAACGAAAAGGGCACAGAGCUCAAGGUUACAAAUCAAUAAUUGGAAUGGUUUCGUUUGACUUCACCUGUCCAAGUGUGGAGCGGAGAAGAGAGUCAAGACACCCCCAAGGCACACAUCACCAGCGCUGCCUGUGCUUGGAGCUACUGGCUGACAGAUCCUUCGCAUAAGGAGGAACUAGAGGGAGUCUGACAAGCGAUAAGAUCCUCUCUUCCAAAUCACCAACAACGAUGAGAUUGGUAAAGCACCUUCACCAAGCGUAAUGAGAGCUCCAGGCGGAAUCUGGAGUGGCUGCUCUAAGCUGAAUCCAAAAGAGUUUUCGUGAGAUUUUCUAACCCAACUGGGUGUGUACAGCACCGUGCCCGCUGUUACUCUGGACUGCACUCGAUAUACCUUAUUUACCAAGUCAUGUCUUAUACAGAGCGAUGGGUAAGUUCGACGACAACGAGAGGAUAAUCCUCAACGUUGGGGGAACCAGGCACGAGACGUACAAGAACACGCUGAGGACACUGCCGGGGACUCGGCUGGCCCUUCUUGCCUCCGAUUCUGACAUCGAGUCCGUUUUGGAUCAGCUGCAACAAGUCCCCGGCUUCAUAGAGUACAACACGCGGAACAACGAAUACUUUUUUGACCGCCACCCAGGGGUAUUCGCUUAUGUCCUUAACUACUAUCGAACCGGGAAACUCCAUUGCCCAGCAGAUGUUUGUGGUCCGCUGUUCGAGGAAGAGCUGUCCUUCUGGGGAAUCGAUGAGACGGACGUGGAGCCUUGCUGCUGGAUGACCUAUCGCCAACACAGGGACGCCGAGGAGGCGCUCGAUGUGUUCGACAUAAACGUUGACAAUGGAGACGACGACGAAGAGACGGGGAAAAGACUCGGCAUUGAGGACGUGGUUGAUCCUAAUAUCAGCCGUUGGAAAAAGUGGCGACCUGUGAUUUGGAAUCUAUUUGAGGAUCCCUAUUCUUCCAGAGCGGCCAGGUUUGUGGCCUUUGCCUCCUUGUUCUUCAUCCUGGUCUCGAUCACCACCUUCUGCCUGGAGACCCAUGAGGCAUUCAACACCAUCACCCUCAUCAACAAGUCUGAGGCGGUGCUCAACGGCAGCCUGCCGGACCUGGGUCCUGAUUACAUUAUCGAGACGGACCCAGCUCUCACCUACGUGGAGGGUGUCUGCGUUCUUUGGUUCACCCUGGAGUUCAUGGUGCGUGUCAUCUUCAGCCCAGACAAGCUGGAGUUUGUCAAGAGCCUGCUCAACAUAAUCGACUUUGUGGCUAUCCUGCCUUUCUACCUGGAGGUAGGCUUAAGCGGACUGUCAUCUAAAGCAGCUAAGGACGUCUUGGGCUUCCUCAGAGUGGUAAGGUUUGUCAGGAUCCUGCGUAUCUUCAAGCUGACGCGACACUUCGUGGGGCUGCGGGUCCUGGGUCACACCUUGAAGGCUAGCACCAACGAGUUCCUCCUCCUCAUCAUCUUCCUCGCCCUAGGUGUGCUUAUCUUCGCCACCGCAAUCUACUACGCCGAGCGCAUCGGCGCCAACCCCAACGACCCCACGGCUGGCGAACACACCAUGUUCAAGAACAUCCCCAUCGGCUUCUGGUGGGCCGUGGUCACCAUGACCACGCUGGGUUAUGGUGACAUGUACCCGCAGACGUGGUCGGGCAUGCUGGUGGGCGCACUGUGCGCCCUGGCGGGCGUGCUGACGAUAGCCAUGCCUGUGCCCGUCAUCGUCAACAACUUUGGAAUGUACUACUCGCUGGCCAUGGCCAAGCAGAAGCUUCCCAAGAAGAGGAAGAGGCACAUCCCCCAGGUCGCACUGGGGGGAUCCCCAACCUGCCUCAAAGUAGACCUCAACACCACCUGCAACAGCCCCCAGGGGGACCUCUGCAACAUGCAGGGGAGUAGGGUGCUGGAGCGCAACCAAUCAGUGCUGUCAGGGGACGGCAGUGGAGGCAGUGAUCUCACCAUGUCCCCCAGCACAGAGGAGAGGGUCCCCAUGCGCAGGUCCAGCACCCCAGAGCAGGAGCGGAGGAGUGGGGGGACGUGCUUCCUGCUGGCUGCCAGUGACUACACCUGCCCUGCCGACGGUGGGGUCAGGAAGACAGGCUGUGAGAAAUCCCCAAGCUUAAGCAACAUAGCGGGCUUGGCUGGUAACGCCCUGAGGCUGUCUCCAGCGACCUCACCCUACAGUUCACCGUGCCCCCUGAGGCGUUCCCGCUCCCCAAUACCAUCCGUCCUGUGAGGCCCGGCCCAGAGCGAGGCUUGCCUUCCGUCUGAGCACACUCCCCUCCCCCACCCCCAAAACACCCGACAGAAGCCAGCUUCAUAGGCGUUAGCUCUCUGUAGCAUCCUGGAAUCAUAUAAUAUACUUUGUGAAUGUUGUUAGCUACUUUAGAGACUAACCUUAGUGGGUUCGACCACAGACUAACCCUGCUCUUCUCCUCUUCCAUACAAACAUAGCUUUGAACUGUAGAUGUGGUGACCACCCCUGAAGUAGCUUAGCUGUGCAUCACUUUGAAUUCCCAUUACUUCACUUUUGUUGUACUUUAAUAAUGGCAAUAAAAGGACUCUUGAAUGGUGGCUCUAAAAGUAGCAGCCACAACAUUUAGUAAAUACGUAUUCAUAAUCAGGGAGAUUUACAUGUUGCUGUAUUUACAUACUUAGAACAUACGUGCUUCCAUAAAAAAUAAGAAAAAUGUCACUUUAUUUUGUGUGUGUGGGGGGGGGGGAGAACUUGUCAUGGACUAUGUCUUGAUUCACACGCUCUCACCUGUCACCCUCUCGCUCUCACCUGUCACUCUCUAGCUCUCACCUGCCACCCUGUCACUCUCACCUGCCACCCUGUCACUCUCACCUGUCACCCUCUAGCUCUCACCUGCCAUCCUCUCGCUCUCACCUGCCACCCUCUCGCUCUCACCUGUCACUCUCUCGCUCUCACCUGCCACCCUCUCGCUCUCACGUGCCACCCUCUCGCUCUCACCUGUCACUCUCUCGCUCUCAAAUGCCACCCUGUCGCUCUCACCUGCCAUCCUCUCGCUCUCACCUGCCACCCUCUCGCUCUCACCUGUCACUCUCUCGCUCUCACCUGCCACCCUCUCGCUCUCACGUGCCACCCUCUCGCUCUCACCUGUCACUCUCUCGCUCUCACCUGCCACACUGUCGCUCUCACCUGCCACCCUGUCGCUCUCACCUGCCACCCUGUCGCUCUCACCUGCCACCCUGUCGCUCUCACCUGCCACCCUGUCCCUCUCACCUGCCACCCUGUCGCUCUCACCUGCCAUCCUGUCCCUCUCACCUGCCACCCUGUCGCUCUCACCUGCCACCCUGUCCCUCUCACCUGCCACCCUGUCACUCUCACCUGCCACCCUGUCACUCUCACCUGCCACCCUGUCGCUCUCACCUGCCUCUGGCUGGGCCCCGUCAUCCUGUUUGCAUGGAUCAUCCUGUGUAAUCAUCUGCCAGCGGUGUGGUGAGAAAGAGAGAAGGAGAGAUCAAAACUAAAGAGAAGACAGGUUAGAAACGGUGGGCCUGGGCCGUGGGAAUGUGCAUGGGACUUGUGUGUCUGCAUCGUGCCAUUGGCCUCCACCUGGGGGACUGAACACACAACAUAAAAUGCACAACAGUGUUUUUCUGUUUUCUCUGCAUGUGGGCUAUGCUGGUUUGCUACUGUUUCAAAUGUUUUACUGUGAUCUUAUUUAAUUGUCAAUCGCUGUGUUGCCAAGCUGAAGUGUCUCUGAUAUUGUUUACUCACAGAUAACUGCAAAGAGAUUGUCUUUACUGGUUUCACGCAAGCAGAGAGCAGCAUUCUUUAAUUGCUGGGGGAAGGCACAUCCCUGGUGGAAAGCCGUUUACGUGUCCUAUUGGAAUGACUGCCGUCAUCAGCCAAUCAGUGGACUAACAAGACCUAUUGGUGUGUGGAUCCUGUUGGAUCACAUAGCGUCACUCAAGGACGUGAACCAACCAGAACACUCACAUCGGUGAAGGAUUGUUGACUGACAAGCGUCAGGUCCAAUGACGCUGCCUGGGAAAACAGGAACUGUCCAAGACUGAGGUCAAUUGGAAUUCUGGGAAUAGAUGGGACAGGGGGAGUUGUAUUUUUCCCAGAUUCUCAAUGUCAUGGAUAUUGAGUGAAGCAUAAAACUGAAGAAGAAAAAGGACCCUUCUUGGAAGACGAGGCCAGCUGCUUCAUCUAGAUAUUGUGUUUGUAAAUAAUAACAUGAUACAGCACAUGGGUCAAGGAGCUCCUCUCUCUCUCAUCUGUCCUCUGGAUUGCGAGCCAGGUACAAGGUCAUGACCUCCAUAUCAAUCAGUCUCCGUGGUUUCCCUCCUCGUAAUCAGUGUUAUAAUGAUGCAUCAGACACUACGUGUUCUGAAAAUUGACUGAUUUAAUAUGUGAAUUCUGCUUCAUAUACAGUGAAGAGAGAAUAACGUGGGAUAAGUUGAAUAAAUGUGACAUAGGGUUUCAUCAAUGCUUUUGUUUCCCUUAGACGUUUUGGUGGAUUCCAUGACAUUGCUGUGGUGUGCGUUUACAUGCGUGUGUUUUGAAUUCCAGGGUAACAUCUAGACAACAUGCAGUUGUAAAGCAGAAAAAUGAAAACCUAUAAGAGACCCAUUACACUCUUCCAGCUAGUUUGAACAUAUAUAACAAGGAAGCUUAAAGUACCCUGUAGAGAUGUGUUAUCCUGGACACCAUACCCCAACAAUCAGAUACAAUUUGCAAUAAUGACACCCAAACAAAAGACACCGAUUUGCACUGUGAUUUUAGCUACCUGCCACAAGAAAUGAUACACUGGUCUAGUACAGCCUAUAUAACAGGACAAGGCUAAAGCACCCCUCCAUUGACUUGAUAGUGAGGGUUGAUUUUGACCAUCAGUAAUUGGGGGAUUGGAAUACUGUGACCUGCACAGUGAGGACCCCCCCCCCCCCCACACACACACACACACACACACACAUACAACUCUCUGUGUAGUGCAAUGCUGCUUAACUCUUUGAAAUGUCAAGGGACACCAAUCAGUAUCUAUUCUUCUAUGACAAAAGUGAUUUAAAUGUGUUUAUUUUUUUGAAUCCAGAACAUGUAAUUAUGUGUCUCUUGUGGAGUGCUUGGUCUACUUGUGAAAGUCAUAGUAUCCCAACACUGUUUCUCUCCAUUACGUCCACAACUGUCACUUGGGCUUGAUCAAGCUUCAUGUUCUGUAUCUUUUAAUGUGAGGACAAUUCUAGUUCGAAGUCUGUAUCUGUGGAGCAUUUGUUGGCAUUCUGAAGUGCAUGCUAUAAAAAAAGACAACAUAUCAAAUUGUAAAACAGGAUGACAACAUAUAUCACGUUCUAAGCGAUGUGUAAAAUGAAAUGCCAUGUGAGAAAAUCACAUAAACAUAUUUAACUUUUAAA